GAUGAAGAACGCAGCGAAAUGCGAUAAGUAAUGUGAAUUGCAGACACCGUGAAUCAUCGAAUCUUUGAACGCACAUUGCGCCCUUUGGUAUUCCGAAGGGCAUGCCUGUUCGAGCGUCAUUACACUAUUCUUCGGAGUAUUGACAGUGGCUUACGCCUUGUCUAAAACCCUUGGUGGUAACUAUCAAUCACGCAUAGUAAUCUCUGCGAAGGUGGAUAGGUAAACACUGAAAACUUCUUGUUUGACCUCGGAUCAGGUAGGGAUACCCGCUGAACUUAAGCAUAUCAAUAAGCGGAGA
rnacentral:misc_RNA from 1 species